AGCCUUGGUCCCAACUGUGCAUUUAUGUGCACAAUGAAUGGGACUGAUGUUCCUCUUAAUACAAAGUUCUGAUAUAACAAACAAUUUGGCUAGGUCCGAACGAGUUUGUUAUAACGAGACUCGACAUAUUAUGCUUGCAGGUGUCCCUUGUCCAAUGUUUCGGCUUUGACAAAAAUUGAAGACCCAAAUGUCCUGCUCCCUCUUUUAGAGUGGUCACGUAUUUCCUUUGAACAUUGAGAAGUAAUUAUUCUUUAGAAUUGUCUAGUAUUGUAACAGGUGUAAGGGACUGAAUGUACUAAGCUGAAAAUGGAAUAUUAAGGUUCCUUGGGGUGUACUGCUGAGAUUGAGGUUGAAGCAGACACUUAAUUGGAGCAUGAUUGCAUUAUAAAAUGUAAUUUAGGCUAAACGACUUCUUGAUUUAUAGUAAUUUAGUGUAUGUAUUACACAUUGGUUAAGUGGUGUUAUGUAAUGUUAUUGUUUAGAAAUGCCAGUGGAAGCUGAAUUUUUAUGCUCUUUUAGCGUGGAUAAUAAACUUGAGUUUGAAUUUGAAUGAUGUAAAUACUAUGUAUAGCAGUGUAAUACGGUGAUAGCGAGAUUGUUUGGUUUUAAUUACUGUUUAUGUACUUAUCUAAUAUCGGUUUUGAAGGUUUAUUGUCAUACGUAAUUUCAAGUGUUGUUUUGUUACAUGAAUCGGGGUCCACUGCUGAGAUUGAGGUUGAAGUAGACACUUGGAGCAUGGUUGCGUUAUAAAAUGUAAACUACGUUAAAAAAACCUUCUUUAAUUAUGUUCAGAAUUUUUAGUGAUGUAGUGUAUAUUUACAUUGGUUUAGUGGUUUUAUGUAAUGUUUUUUAAAUGCCAGUGGAAGCUGAAUUUCUAUGCUUUUUUGCGUGGAUACUAAACUUGAGUUUGAAUUUGAAUGAAGGAGGUAUUUGUACAUGUAUAGCAGUGUAAUACGGUGAUAGCGAGAUUUUUUUUGUUUUAAAUACUUUUUAUGUACUUAUCCAAUAUUGGUUUUGAAGGUUUAUUUUCAUACGUUAUUUCAAGUGUUGCUGUGUUACGUGAAUUCAUUAUAAUCAGGUGUACGUAAGGGUUUCAAUUUGUAUUUUUUAUAUGCAGUCAUAUAACCUAGUAAAGAAGGUAUAACAGGGUACUAUAUUAUAAUCAAGCUUGGUUUCAGGGAGAACUUAAUAAUUUAUUACACAGGAAAUAGGUUUUCCCAGCCAAUUUUUUGAAAUGUUCAUUCACUUCUGAAAAUCGGUCAUUCAUUUUCGACUGAAUUUGAAUGCACGUCUUCAAUGCCACUUCAAUUCGACGAAAGUUCAAUCGUUUCAUUGUCCUUGCAUUCAGGUUUGAGAAACAGACCGGCCACUUACGUAAUUACCUGUGCAUUCAUUUACGCAAACGUUUCUUUUCUAAAUUGAUUUCAGGUACAGCUAAUUUGAUUGACGGUUAAUGAAAAAGAAACCCCUAAUUUUAUCUGUUGCCGAUGGCAUUAAACUAAAAGUGAAACAGAACGGUGAAUGUUUGAAAUCGCCCUCUGAAAACGAAUUCUCAAAUUCAGAUUCAGACGAAAAUGAAUGACCGACUUUUUUUCAGAAGUGAAUGAACAUUUUAGGAAAUUGGCAGGGAAAACCUAUAUUUUUGAACUUUUUUGCAUGUAUAUUGCCGAUAAAAACUUUUAAUGUGCAUAACACUGCAUAUGCUAACAACAUGAAUGCAUUGUGACUCGUACAACUGUUGCAUUGAACGUGUGUUUCCGACAUCAUUCUCACGUAUGCUGAUCAAGACGUAAUGAGUUUUCUUGUGAAUGUCACAAAUAAAGUCAAUCAUGGCAUUAAAAGGUAA